CCAGCGGCAACUGAGGUUGGGCGGGCGGGUGUGCAAGCUUUCCCCCAGCUCCACUCCUCCUCCCCCUCCCUACCCUGAGAUGCGAUCAUCAGCCUCUCAGCAGCACCAAUCAACUCCAACUUCCAUUUCCCAUUUUUGCCCACCCCUGCUCCCCCGCCUUGUUUCUUCCUCCCCCUUUCUCCGGCUCGCCUUUGGACUGGGAGGAAGGAGGAGGAUGUUGUUGUGGCUAUUCUGGGAUCCUCCAGGGCAGCCGAUGGGAAGUUUCGCGCAGCUGGAGGUUGCUGAGAAGGAGGAGACAGGGGGAGGCCCACCACAGAGAGUUUGAUUUACAACAGACCCCAGGAAUAGAGGAGAACCAUAGACAAAAAGGCUUGAAGAUGGUGCAGACCUGAGGGCCAUAGCACUGAACCCACAGAAAAGGCAACACUGAUAGACUGCUGACAAUAGCCACCACCCUUCGACUUCUGGAGGCACAUAGCCACACAACUGGAGGUCUGAGCCGCUUGCAAUUAACUUGCUUCAGGCACCCUGCACCAUCCAGGGGUCUGUCUGGGAGUUUUUUAUUUUGUUGAUUUUGUUCCAGGGGGUUGCAGUAGAAUGGGAUACGUCCUGCUUACAUUUGUGUGCAGGGAGGUGGAAUAUGAAUGUCUUUUUUGAUACUUACAUGCCUCACUUUAAUCCACUGUAACUGGCAUGUGCUUGUUUUCAGAGGUCUAUGGAAUGAGAAGACUAGAUGUGUUCCAAGGAUUUCCCACCAAUGGUGGAGACUCUACAAAGAUUCAACGCAUUGCAUACCAGCAGCAGGAAUCAGAUAAAGUUCAAGCACAGAAGACUAGGACAAUGAAGUGGAGGACCUUUUCUUGGAGUACUCUAUGAAUAGUGCCUACAGGGACCCUAUUGGUGAAUGAGCACAUUUUUUCCUCUCUUUUUCUGAUUUAAAAUGUGAGCCUGUAUCUUUAUAUGAGGCAACUAAAGUAAAAACCAGCAAUGCCACCAAAAUGCCCACAUUUGUAACUAUUGCUUUGGUAUUUUACAGAGUUUGGUGCACAACAUGUGUAUACAGCAACAAGGUAGCAGAUGGUGCAGGCUAAGCUGAGGGACUUGGGCUGAAGCCACAGGAAGGACAACACUGACAGCCUGCCUCUGGGACUACACUGGUGGUCAGGGCUGGAUUACCUAACAGGCAGACUAAGCAUGUGCUUAGGGCACCAGCAAAGCAGGGGGCACCAAAAAAGAGGGUUUUUGGGGGGGGGAGGGUUGAAAAAAUUUGAUAUUUGAUAUUUCAAAAAAAGCAUCGAAGUAGUCAUCAUGGGAAAAAUAAGAAC
rnacentral:lncRNA from 1 species